rnacentral:miRNA from 1 species
GGGGCUGUAUCAUAACCAGGCU